CGAGAAAAGAAUAAAACAUGGGCUCAAGCUACCCAUUUUUAGGCCUAAUUUUGGACCUAGCCCAUAAUUCCUAGGCCCAUACCCCUUAACCUAAAAAACCCUACAAAUACCUAGGACCCCUAACCUAGAACGAAGGAGCCGCAUAACUCAAAAUAGAGGAGACCCUUAAGCAAAGAACGGACCCCCAAUUCCUAAGAAGGAAAGGCGAUCUCCCAAAAAGAAAAAGGAAAUCUCCAUCCUUAUUUUGAGAAGAACAGUAGCGUUCCCCCUUACUGAAUUGAAGAAUUCUUAACUUUUGAGAGACUAGAAGCCGUCCAAACACCUCCUCUUCUCCAAUACCAUCGUCGCCGCCGGAUUUCAUCACCGGCUGAUCGGCGAGAGUGAUUCCAAACACCAGCAUCCAUCCUCUCCUGUCCGCUCCAUUUCACAGAAACUGGAGCUCGGCGCUGAACAAAUUUCGUCAAGGUUUUUUGAUUUAAGCCUUGUUUCACUUCUGAAAAAUUAAUUUAAUUACAGAUUCUUGUUCCAAAAAUGUAGUUUGUUCGAGGUUGAUUGAGUUCGUCGCCGAUUGGAGGUUUUGGUCGCGCCGUUUGUGGUUCCUGCCGAAGUUUCUGUUGUUUUGCUUGUUUUCCGAUCGGAUUUCAAUUGCCGGAAUCCUAUUUUCGCCGUCCACAUCUCUUGGUUGUACCGGUUAUAGGAUAUUUUCAAUUAGAAAAGCUCAAUUAAAGGUCCAAUUCUAACUCUUGUUCAUUCGUUAAUUUCCAACUGGUGUGGUUGUCCAUGUUUAACCGAAAAUAUUUGUUUGCACUUUGUGUUUGCUCUUGCGUUCUUAAGAAGGUUAUGUUGCUUAGAUUAAGGAAAUCAGUUGUUCAUAUUAUUUAAUUGCUCUUUGUGAAAUUCGGUGUCAAAUAUUUGUGGGUGCUAAUGUAUCAUUUUAUUUAUUUGUUAGGAAUAGGGUCAUAAUUGUCAAAAUGUGUUAUUUCAAUUUAUUUAUGAACUUUCGAGGCAUCAGUGAAAGGAAGUAAAUCCAGUAUGUGGCUACCUUGCAAACCAAAUUUGAACAUAAAUGUAAUUUGAUUGUUUUGGCAUAUACUGUACCAGUCCGAAAUUCAUUUUUAUGUUGGACAUAUUUUUGGGUGUGGGGAAUCACUUUAAAUGAAAAGAAUUUGGACUUCCAAAAAUGAAUAUUUUGUUUAGUUUUUUUUUUCCGUUUCUUUGACCUGGCUAGUAGCAUGCUUAAGCCGACCACACGUGGAUAGGCGAAUCUCUAGGCACAUAAUUAAAUCAUCACAACUACGGGUACGGUUCCCGUGGCAUAGUUGUGAUACCUAAUUUCAAAUUGGUCUUAAAUAUGAACAUCCAUAGUUAAAUGCUUUUCCCUUUAAUAAAAUCGAGGUGUGCCAUUUAGUUGAAUUUUUCAUGGCCCUCGCAAACUCAAAAGUGCGUAGUUGCUUUAGGCGCGCAAUUUAAAUUAAUUUCUUUAAACUCAGGUGCGCAUUUAUGUGACCCAAAUCCAAAUCUCAACGUUAGAUAAAAUGUAUCGUGAACCGCGGGUGCAUUUAUGUGACGUGGUUCAAGACACGUUUUAGAUGACGUUGAAUUUUUCCUAAAAAAACAAUUAAAUAAAAGCGGUUAUAAAAUCAAAAUAGAACCAUAGGUUAAAACAUGUGUUAAAAUCAGAUAAUAGGCCAAUUAUAACAGUUGAGCGACCGUGCUAGAACCACGAAACCCGUGAAUGCCUAACACCUUCUCCCGGUUUAACAGAAUUCCUUACCCAGAUUUCUGUGUCCGCGAACUGUAAUACAGAGUCAAUCUUUUCCUCGAUUCGGGAUUUGAACCGGUGACUUGGGACACCAUAAAAUUAUCCCAAGUGGCGACUUUGAUUUUUUUUUUAAUAAAAUAAUCCUGUUUCGAUUGUCACUUUAAGUUGGAAAAAACUCCCUUAUACACCCUUACGGAGGUGUAGGUAAAAAUGAGGUGUGACACCUACUCCAAACCAAAUUUAAAGAACUUCAAAAACCUUCAAGAACCAACUUUCACUAUUAGGCGCCGAAAUGCUCCCGGGUCAUCCAAAACCUGAUCCGAACAUACACCCAAGUCCAAAAUUAUCAUACGAACCUAUUGGAACCGUCAAAUCCCGAUUCCUAGGUUGUUUACUCAAAAUGUUGACCGAAGUCAAACAUGUCUUUUUAAGCCAACCUUAAGGAACCAAGUGUUCCGAUUUCAACCCAAACUCUUUCAAAUCCCAAAAUAACCAUCCCCACAAGUCAUAAAUCAGUAGAAGCAAGUACGAGAAGUAUUAUUUAAGGGAACAAGGUUCUAGAAAGCAAAACGACUAUUUAGGACUUACAUGACCACGUUAUCUCAAAACCUACGAACCAUCACCCUCCUUGUGCGAAUAUUCGCAUCUUCAACUAGUACACCCAUUCUGAUAAUUCCUCUAUGAAUCCGAAGUUACAUUCCCCCAUUCCUCCAAUGCUACACUGCAGACCGAAGAUAACAUAGAACACUCUAAGCACUUUUCAUAAUCUGCUGCAAAAGCUAGAUACUAAACCAUACUACGGACUCGAAAUCCUUAGGCACCACACUUUAACUUUUGAAUCCGAUAGGAUGUUGUUGAAAGUCACUCUCUCUAACGUGGUCCCGUAUAUUAUCAACUCCAAGGCUCUACUAGCACAGGAACACCCUCUCAAACAAACACCUAGUUGAAUCACCUUUCUUGUAAAUCACCUCUAUACGAAGCAUAAAUCCUGAGUCUUCCCAAAGCUUGAAUAUAAAUCGAUAAGGCCAAUUAUAGCACACCUUCCUCAAAUCCUUUUCUCAAAUCACCACUGAUGUCCUCUUUCCUUAUCAUAAUAACCCACCAAUAUGCUGAUAACCAGAAACCCCACAAGUAGACAACCAUGCAAUCCAAUCGUAGGCGGUAGGUAUCUCCCACUUAGCUUGAAUCUACCAUUGCAUAACUCUGGAACCCACUAAGAUUCCUUAUCCCACAUCGACAUGAUCUUGCACAAUCAACCCGCCAAAUUCCUCGAAAUCCUUCUGUUAACAUUUCAUAAACACUCUGAAUCACUAGCCACAUCUACAUAUCCGAACUCUUACCGGAUUACCAGUAGAAUUCUUUGUAGAAUCUUCGUCAACACCACGCGACCGCUAGCCUGCUCACAGGAGAUAAUCCACCCAUGGAAAUCACAUGCCGACAUCUUCCAACGUCGAUGCACUGGGUACAUUUACUAGGAAAUCAAUAACCCAUCCUGAGCCCGUGCUCAUUCACCAGCUGUACAAGUCUGUUCAUUCCCCAUUGACAUCACUAAAAGGUGCGACAAUACAUUCCAAUCCAAAGUCAUGUUGUAUCCUUCUUCAUAUCAAGCAACUCCUUUCCGCCAUAUCCAACUUCCUUAGUAUAGCAGCUAAUAUUUCAAAUUAAGCCCGUAGACUUAGUCACUGUCCACUAUGAACCCCAAAUCACUCUGAACUUUCCUCAAGGCGUGGAGCUAUCCUACCACAGAACCCAUGUUCUACUCUGCCACUCUCCCACUUUGGUCAAGUCCUCUCCUUUGAGCAACUACUUGACUUUUGCUUCUCAUACUUAGACUUCUAGAAGUUUAACCACUGCAAGACACUUCCCACAUGUACUUCCUCAUCCUCUGCUGCCUAGUUGAUGCCUUACAUCAAUCCAUCUCUGUAGCACUUGAACCAGUAGAUCGCUACCAAUUCCAAACCUCCUCGAAGUUCAUCUUACUUGAGCCCUCAACACCCGGAACACCGAUUCAAUCCCGAACCACUGCACACUAUGAUCUAUGAUAGUCGCUUCCCCGACACUAUUUCACAAUACUCAGCCUCGAAGGCAAAUUGAAGAAGACCAUAACACCGGCGAACUUAACGCAUUCUACAAGGACGAUGACACAACAUCAAAGAUAAAAAUUCCACCACGCUUGAAAAUUCCAAAUCUUGUUACCCCAUCGACCCAAAACCUGAGCAUUUGUAGUCCGAUUGUCUUUCCUCCGGCGAAAAUAAAAUACUAAAUCCCUGAAUCAUGCACGGAGUAAAACCUCCUUUCCAAGUCAUUCACAGCCCGAUACAUAGAAAGACAUCCUACCAUCACAUCAAUAUUAUGCGAUAACAACUGGCGAACAUCAUAGCAAUCUAUGCAUAACUUCAAAACCAACAGAAAUACCGCUAUUGUGCUAAAACGACAAAACAUCCUUCCGCAAGGCGACGACAUUAGUCCGAUCAAAUAAGUAGGGAGAAACAUCAUGUACCACUUCUAUAGUGCCAUUAAAAUUCCUCGAUUUCCAAUUUAUAACAAGCUCUUCACGUCGCAUAAGAUCGAAUAGGAAGGAAAUGAAGGCAUAAGCCUCAAAGGAAUCAAAUAGCACGAUAAGGAAUCAAGAAGGGAAGUGCUCCUAACAACUCCAUAGCCUCUCGAAGAUAAGUAUAGACAUCUCCUUACUGAUCCGCAAGUCUCUACUAGACUCGCUCAUGACUCGUGAGACCUAAGUAAACCUAGUGCUCUGAUACCAUGUUAUCACGACCCAAAAUUCAUUAAAGAUCGUGAUGGCGCCAAACACCACUGUCAGUCAAGCUAACAAUAACUAAUUAAUUUGGUUCUCAUUUUAGUAUUUUUGAAAUCAUAGUUUUCUUCAAUUAUUAAAUAGUAAAAGCUUAAAUUUACAAAGUAAAUAAUAAUAUUUUAACAAUUUCAAUACUGAACAACCCAUAAUCACCCUAAAACCCGGUGUCACGAGCAUCAACUAGGAAGAUAAAAUAAAAUACAGCAUAUGUACGAAAUACAAAUUAGAUAGGAAAAUACAUAAGUAACUCUGAAGGAGACUCUGCUGGCUACGGACCAUAAUAUGGAAAUGCAGAUCACCUAAUUCCCCGCAAAUAACCAUGCCUCUGCUCUCACAGGGCCACUAAACAUAUAUGCACCUGCACAGAAAUAUUCACCGAGUACGUAAAUCAAUACGUACCCAGUAAGUUCCAGUCUAACCUCGAAGAAGUAGUGAGCAGGGGUCGACUUCGACACUUAAUAUGGGAUAACAAUAAAAUGCCGAUAUAUUAUUUAAUCAUGGAAUACAUAACGUGACUGGAAAAUUUAAUAACCAGAAACAACCAACAACUCUUUUACUAAUGGAAAUUUUGCCAAAUUCAUCUUUCAUCAUUUAACAAUUUAUAUCUCAAGCCAAUAAAGCAAAGUCAAUUAUUAUUAGUUUCAAGGAGUUAUCAUGCGCAAGUCAUGCCAAGGUUGUAUGACCUAAUCCAACAAUAAAUAUAAAUUGUGCACUACCGAGGGCCGAACGACACAAACCAUAGAUGCAUCUAUUUAACCUGCCGAAGUGAACUGCCCACUCCCAUGAGAGUAGCGGAAAUUUACCCCGCUCGCGAAAUAUAUUUGCGACGAGGUUGCACAUAGAUUUCUUAUAUUAUUAUCAUUAUAAAUAUUCUUUAAUUCUUUUCAAAAAUGCAAAAUUCAAAUGAAAGCUUUCAAGUCUCGAAAUUCUCAAUUUCAACCCUUUUCAUGGCAUUUAAUAAGCAUACUCGAUCUCAAUUCAUUUCAAGGCAAAUAAUAAGCAAAAUCAAAUAACGGUAUCAACAAGGCAUGGUGUAAACCUAAAAUUACCCGGACACAGACCUAAUUAGUAGAUACGUACGGACUCUCGUCACCUUGUGCAUACGUAGCCCUCGCAAAUAGAAGCCCAUAUUAAUUUAGUUCACCUAUGUGGUUAAAUUCCCUCUUACAAUGUUAGAAAAGAGACUUACCUUGCUCUGAAGUUCCAUAGCCGGCUCCCAAGCCUUUCCAACAACUCAAACCGAUGCCCAACACUCCAAAACUAGUCAAUAAAUGUGAAAAUCUAUAAAUAUAUACUCUAAUACUCAUUAUAAUCCAAUUUACAAUAAUUUUCAACUCCAUUCGAACAUUCGAUAAAAAUCACCCUCGGGCCCACGUGCCUGGAUUUCGGAAAAUUUUCGAAGAUAAACUUUAUCCAUAAUACCAAGAACUCAGAUAUAUAAUUUAUUCCAAAUUCCAUGCCCAAACUCGUGGUCAAAAUCCAAAAAUACUAAUUUAUAAGUUUUUCUUCAAAAUUCCAAAUUUCCACUAAUUUUCAUGUCUAAAUCCUUAUAUAAACCUUGUAUUUAACUCACAAACCAGUAGAAAUCACUUACCUCAUGAUAGAUGAUGAAAUCCCCUCUUCAAAAGCUCCAAAAUUCUCCCAAGUCGUGUGAAAAAUGGGUGAAAUGAACUCAAACCCCGCUUUUAAAACAUUUUGCCCAGCCCAGGUCCGCCCUUCUUCGCGUUCGCGAUCAAAGCCUCGCGUUCGCGAAGGCUCCAUAAUCCUCCACUUUGUGUUCGCGGUUGGGGCUCUGUGAAGGCUAAAUGUCUCCAGGCCUAGCUCCCCCUUUCCUUCUACACGUUCGCGAUUGACCCUUCGCAUUUGCGUAGGUCCCUCUGGCAAUCCCUUCGCAUUUGCGACCUCCCCAUCGUGUUCGCGAAGACCAAAACUCAACAACCUCAAAAUUCCUCUUCGUGAACGCGGGACUCCCUUCACGUUCGCGAAGAAGGAAACCAGAUACCAGCAACAACAGUUCCAAAACAGCUUAAAUUGAUCCGAAACUAAGUCGAGGCCCCCGGUACCCCAUCCAAAUCCCACAAACUAGUCCCAUAACAUAAUACAGACCUUCUCGAAGCCUCAAAUCACAUCAAACAACACCAAAAUCAUGAAUCGCACCCCAAUUCUAGCUUAAAGAACUUUAGAACUUCAAACUUCUACAUUCGAUGCCGAAGCCUAUCAAAUCAUGUUCGAUUGACCUCAAAUUUUGUACAUAAGUCAUAUUAGACAUUACAGACCUACUCCAACUUUCAAAAUUGGAAUCCGACCCCAAUAUAAAAAAUUUCACUCCCGUUCAAACUUCUCAAAACCCUUCAAAUUUCUAACUUUCACCAAAUGACCCCAAAAUGACCUACGGGCCUCCAAAUCUACAUUUGGACGUGCUCCCAAUAUCAAAAUCACCAUACGAAGCUAUUCCAGUCUCGGAAUCCCAAACGGACAUUGAUAACAUUAAAAUACACUUUCACCCAAAUUUAUGAAAUCCUUCCAAAUGCUAACUUUCCACAAUAGGUGUUGAAUCGCUCUCGGAUUAUUCAAAACCCGAUCCGGACAUACGCCCAAGUCCAAAAUCAUCAUAUGAACCCGUUUAAACCUUUAAAUCCCGAUUCUGAUGUCGUUUACUCAAAAAUCCAACCUUAGCCAAUUCUGCCAACUUAAAGCUUCCGAAAUGAGAAUUCUCUUUCCUAAUCAACUUCGAACUUCCCGAAUUUCAAUUCUGACCACGCGUACAAGUCAUAAUACCCAAAGUGAAGCUACUCAUGGCCUAAAACCACCGAACGACAUGCUAGGUCUCAAAACAACCGGUCGGGUCAUUACAAAUAUAAUCUUGAAAGCUUGUUCUUUAUUAGGAUUUAGCUUUGAUUGUGCUCCCUUAGUCACUUGUAUAGCAUUUUGAUUCUUAAUAUUAUACUAACCUUUUUACUUUGUGUUCUAACGCUCUUUUUAAGGAAUAAAUUUAUGUAUCCCAAGAUUUAUUUUUAACUUGAAUAAGAAUUUUACUCUAAUGAUGAGUUUGAAAAAUAAUUGAAUUGGAUUCUCUUGCUAAAUAAUUAAUUAAAAAAUUUAAUUAUUUAGUUUUAACAUAAAAAUUAAUUUAUUCUAGGUUGAUUCAGAUCUUAAUAUUAGUUCAUCUCUUGUUUUGAAUACUUAGUCUUAAUUGUAAUUUUCUCCACUAUAUAUGUGAUGACCCGGUCAGUCGUCUCAUGAGUUACCACUCCAUUUUCCCCAUUUAUGCUUCUUUAUGCUUUGUUUAUCCGUGUUAUGUGGUAUCGGGUUGGUCGGAUUGAGUUCGGAAAGGAUUUGGUAAGGUUUGAGGCACUUAGUCUCCUUAGAGUGAGUUUAAGUUGGAAAAGUCAACCGAAUAUUGACUUGUAUAUUAGAGGGCUCAGAUGUGAGUUCCGAUGGUUCAGUUAGCUUGGGGAGGUGAUUUGGGACUUAGGAGCGUGAUCGGAAUGAGUUUUGGAGGUUCGGAGUAGAUUUUGGCUUGAAUUGGCGAAAAUGGAUUUUUGGUGAUUUCCGAUUGGUAGGUAAGAUUUUGAUCUAGGGGUCAGAAUGGAAUUCCAAGAGUUGUUGUAGUUCCGUUGUGUCAUUUGGGAUGUGUGUGCAAAAUUUCAGGUCAUUCAGACGUGGUUUGGUUGGAUUUUUGAUCAAAAGUGGAAUUCAGAAGGUUUUUAGAAACUUAGGCUUGAAUCCGAUGUGUUUUAAUUUAUUUGAUGUUGUUUGAGGUGUUUUGAAGAUUGGAACAAGUUUGAAUAAGGUUUUGAGAUAUGUUGGUGCCUUUGGUUGAGGUCCCGGGGGCCUCGGGUGAGUUUCGGAGGGUUGAACGGAUCAUUUUAAGUUAAGAAAAAUUACAGAAAAUGGUUUCAGCUGUUGCAGGUGUUUUGGUUUUCGCGUUCACGAGUAGACCCUCGCGUUCGCGAAGGGACAGGAAGGGAGGCGUCAGGUUUGGCCUUCGCGUUUGCGAAGGGGAGUCCCGCGUUCACGAAGGGGCGGAUUAUUAAGCAUCGCGUUCGUGGGCGUAUAGUCGCGUUCGCAUAGAAGGAAUUGAGAGGCUGAGCUUCAGUGGGAUUAAAGCGUUCACGAUGGAUGGAACGCAUUUGCGAAGGUUUGUCUGGUUAAAGCAUCGCGUUCGCCAGGGCUUGGUCGCAAUCCCGUAAGAGGAAAGUUGGUCAAAGUUAAGUUGUGCUUUGCGAAUGCGAGGCUUUGACCGCGUUCGCGAAGAAGGAUUUUCAGGCCUGAGCAGAAGGUUUAAAAGGUCGUCUUGUCCGCGAAUGUGGGGUUUAGUUCCUCCAUAGUUGGUCAUUUUUUGGAGCUUUUUGAAGGAGAUUGAAAAGGGAUUCAAGGGAAAACAUUUGGAGGUAAGAAUUUUGGACUUAAAUCUCAAUUCUAUUGUGAAAUCUACCUAAUAAAUCAUGGAAUCUAAGCCUAAAAUUGAGAAAUUUGGGCUUGAGAUUUAGAGACUUUAAAUGAGGAUUUGAGGGGUCAUUUGAACUCUGAUUUCAGUGUUCUUGAUAUGUAUAAACUCGUGGGAGGAUAAGGAUUCCGGUGAUAUAAUUUUUAUCGAGUUUCAAGACGUGGGCCCGGGGGUCAGGUUUGGCCAAUUUUGAGAUUUUUGGUAUUAUUUGAUUGUUUUCGCUUGGGCCUCAUUCCCUUAGCAUAUUUUGACGCCGUGAUUCUGAUUUUGGAUAGAUUCGACACGAGUGGAAGCCGAUUUGAGGGACAAAGGCAUCACAGAGUAGUAUUUUCACAGGUUUGAGGUAAGUAACCACUGUAAAUCUGGAACUGAGGGUACAAACCCUGGUAUUUGAGUUGUUUUGAUAAAAGCGGUGACACACAUGCUAGGGUGACAAGCGUGUGGGCGUGAACUGGUAGGGAUUGUGACUUAGUCCAUCCCGUAGCGACUAUUAAGCCGCGUAUUUAAUUUGGAACCUUAUGAUAUUCCGUACUUUAGCUAUUUAUACUAUAUAAUGGGUUGACCUGCUAUCCUGUUGUUUAUUCAGUUAUAUGAUUUUUUAACUGCUCGUCACUGCUUUCAAACCUUAUUUACUUUAGUUACUUACUGAGUUGGCAUACUCACGUUACUCCCUGCACCUUAUGUGCAGAUCCAACUACCCGAGCGACAGAGUAAGGGUCCUCAACAUUGUCAGAGUUUACCGGAGACUACAAGGUAGCUGCAUGGCGUCCGCAACCCUACUCUCUUCCUCUUAUCCUUGUUUUCCGCAUUUUUGACUUGUUAUGUAUUAGACAGCCAGAUUUGUAUAUUUAGAGGCUCUAGACUUGUGACACCAAAUUAUAGGGCUAUGUAGUUUCCUGUUAUUUGAUUUCCGCAUAUUUUCUGUUGCUUUAAACAUUUAUAAUGAAAUUUAGUAUUUAAAACUUGUGUUAGAAAAUGGCUUAUUGUUUAAGGAAAAAGGGUUGUGAUUCAUUGAUUGGUUGGCUUGCCUAGUAAUGUGGUAGGCGCCAUCACGACUGAUAUUUGGGGUCGUGACAAGUUGGUAUCAGAGCCUAGGUUACAUAUGUCUCGCGAUUCAUGAGCCGG
rnacentral:lncRNA from 1 species